rnacentral:rRNA from 1 species
ACGAACGCUGGCGGCGUGCUUAACACAGUGCAAGGUGGAGCGACGAACCGGGGCUUGCCCGGGGCAGAGCCGCGAACGGGUGAGUAACACGUGGGUAACCUGCCUCAAUGAUUGGGACAACCCGGGGAAACUCGGGCUAAUACCAAAUGUGUUCACUCCUUCUAAGGGGAGGUGAGGAAGGAAGCUUCGGCCUCCGCAUUGAGAUGGGCCCGCGGCCCAUUAGCUUGUUGGUGAGGUAACGGCUCACCAAGGCUUCGAUGGGUAGCUGGUCUGAGAGGACGAUCAGCCACACUGGGACUGAGACACGGCCCAGACUCCUACGGGAGGCAGCAGUGGGGAAUCUUGCACAAUGCGCGAAAGCGUGAUGCAGCAACGCCGCGUGGGGAAGACGGCCUUCGGGUUGUAAACCCCUUUCAGUUGGGACGAAGCUUCGUCGGUGAAUAGCCGGUUGGAGUGACGGUACCUUCAGAAGAAGCCCCGGCUAACUACGUG